GGCGGCGGCGGCGGCGGCGGCGGCAGGAGCAGCGGCAGCGGCGGCGCCGCCGGGUCCCGGCCGCCGGCAGCGGCAGCGCGGGGGAGCCGGAGCGCCGAGCCGAGCCGAGCCGAGCCGAGCCGAGCCGAGCCGAGGCGCGGCGGCCGCGCUGUCCCUUCAGCACCGCCGGUGCCCCCGCGGGUGCGGGCCGGCCCCGCCGCGGGAGCCCGCGGGGGGCUUCCCCUUUUUUUCCUUUUUUCCCCUUGAUUUUUGAGGCCUUUCCGCGCUUUGCGCCCCGCGCCGCCGGGCCCCCGCCGCCCGCAUGCCGCCCGCCGCGGCGCCGUAGCGCGGGGCGGCCCCGCGGCCGGCUCCCCCCGCCGGCGCCCCCACCCCGCUCCGCAUGCAGCCGCGACAUGCCCGAUAAGCGACGCGAUGGGCCAGGGCGACGAGAGCGACCGCAUCGUGAUCAACGUGGGAGGCACCAGGCACCAGACGUACCGCAGCACCCUGCGCACCCUGCCCGGCACCCGCCUCGCCUGGAUCGCCGAGCCCGACGCCCACAGCCACUUCGACUACGACCCCCGCACCGACGAGUUCUUCUUCGACCGCCACCCCGGCGUCUUCGCCCACAUCCUCAACUACUACCGCACGGGCAAGCUGCACUGCCCCGCCGACGUGUGCGGCCCCCUCUACGAGGAGGAGCUGGCCUUCUGGGGCAUCGAUGAGACCGACGUGGAGCCCUGCUGCUGGAUGACCUACCGGCAGCACCGCGACGCCGAGGAGGCGCUGGACAGCUUCGGCGGGGCGCCCCUGGACAGCAGCGCCGAGGACGGCGACGUCGAUGGCACCGGGGACUCCGGCGACGGCGAAGAGGAGCUGGAGAUGACCAAACGCCUGGCGCUCAGCGACUCCCCCGACGGCAGGUCUGGGGGCUUCUGGAGGAGGUGGCAGCCCCGCAUCUGGGCGCUCUUCGAGGACCCCUACUCCUCCCGAUACGCAAGGUAUGUGGCAUUUGCCUCCCUCUUCUUCAUUCUGGUCUCCAUCACGACCUUCUGCCUUGAGACCCACGAGAGAUUUAACCCCAUUGUGAACAAGACAGAAACUGAAUUCAUCGGGAAUGACACCCAGGUGCGGCACUACAGGGAAGCAGAGACUGAGGCCUUUCUCACCUACAUCGAAGGUGUCUGUGUGGUCUGGUUUACAUUUGAGUUCUUGAUGAGAGUCACUUUCUGCCCAAACAAGGUGGAAUUUAUCAAAAACUCUUUGAACAUCAUUGACUUUGUGGCCAUACUGCCUUUCUAUCUAGAGGUUGGACUCAGUGGCCUGUCUUCCAAAGCUGCUAAGGAUGUCCUGGGCUUCCUCCGCGUAGUCCGUUUCGUGCGAAUCCUGCGAAUUUUCAAGCUGACCCGCCACUUUGUUGGGUUGCGGGUCUUGGGACACACUCUCCGUGCCAGCACAAACGAAUUCUUGCUGCUCAUCAUAUUUUUGGCAUUGGGCGUCUUAAUCUUUGCCACGAUGAUCUAUUAUGCCGAGAGAAUAGGUGCUAAACCAAAUGACCCUAGUGCCAGUGAACACACACACUUUAAAAAUAUCCCCAUCGGCUUCUGGUGGGCUGUUGUCACCAUGACGACCCUGGGCUACGGAGACAUGUAUCCUCAGACUUGGUCAGGCAUGCUGGUGGGGGCCCUCUGUGCUCUUGCUGGUGUGCUGACCAUUGCCAUGCCUGUCCCUGUCAUUGUGAACAAUUUCGGAAUGUAUUACUCCUUAGCUAUGGCUAAGCAGAAGCUACCAAAGAAAAAAAAGAAGCAUAUCCCGAGGCCACCCCAGCUGGGAUCCCCCAAUUAUUGUAAAUCUGUCGUAAACUCUCCACACCACAGUACUCAGAGCGACACUUGCCCACUGGCCCAAGAAGAAAUUUUAGAAAUUAACAGAGCAGGUAGGAAACCUCUUAGAGGAAUGUCCAUCUGACCUUUAAUCUCCAUCCCGCGUAGUGAUUUCAGAUACAGCCAGACUGCUUUCUUAGAGCAAUGGGUAGCACAUUUAUCCAUUCUAGUCCCACCAUCACACAGUGAAUAAUAUGUGUGAAGUCUAGGUUGCAGGGACAAAUGGUACAGUGGAGGCUGAUCAGCAAAAGUAAGGUAGAGAGCAUGCUCUAGGAGCCCAAACUUUGGUCCUGGUAAGGGCAUACAAGUCUCAAGAUAUUUUUAAGAGCUGUUACAUCUAGUGGAAGAAUUGGGAGAGUUCUACAGCUAUGUUGCUGGACUGCGUAAUGCAUCUCAGAGGCUCCUGAGAUCUGAACGCUUCACAGAGCAGAGUAGGAGCCAAGUACUCAGCAAUUACAGAGUUUUUUGACAAAACAGGGCUGGAAUUUGAACCAGCCAGAUACUUGCUCAUUUGUUCCCAAUUGGGACCUUUCAGCUGUUUUAAAUGGCAGAUAUUGUACAUCUCAUAAAAGAAACUAGGUGCCUAGUAAGUAGAAGGGACAACUAUACCAUCAUGCAUAUUCAUGAGACGAUCCCGUCUCUUUCUGAUGAUUAACUGCAAAGUAGAACAACAGCUCAAAUUCUUGACACUAAUACAAAAUGACUCACUCUGAGACAAGACUAGAUGUAAGGAUGUUUAUACCAUGGCAUGCAAACCAAUCUAUUCUAUAUUCCACUAGAAUUUAGCAUUUAGAGCUAUGAAGAGUUUUGAACUACAAUUUCUAAAAUAUGCUCCUUUUGCAACUAUGGGUUGGUGAGUUAUAGCUCUUUCAACCUUCUGGCAGUAAAGGCUGACUGGAAAGGGUCUGACGGUCAUUACUGGCAGGUUUGGCCUACACAGUGAUUGCCUCAUAAUAUGGUAUUCUUAUUUUUUUAAUUAUACUGAUUCAUGUCAGCAAUAGGCGAAACCAGAGCAAAAUUAAUCAUACUAAUUCUACUGGGGGGGAGGGAAAUACUAGUCACCAUGGAAUAUAUUAUAAUAUUCCAUGGCUAGUGGUUAAUUAUGGGAAUAUCUCAGUUUUAUGAGAAUCCUCAUAUAGCACAUAAAAUUACGGGGCUCCAGUUUGAUUAUUUCAACCCCAUAAUCUACCUCUACCUAUGGAAUAUCACUAUUUAUUCUGUGGAGUCAGUACUUUCGAAGUAGAUAACCAUGUUGAAAACAAAGCCAACUCCGUUUUUGGCAGAUGUUCCAGCCAAGUUGCAUAGCAGACAUCCUUCAGCCUAUUCAAAAUAUUCCCACAUAUUGUAUUAGAUAGAACAGAUUGCCAAUCAAGUGAUUUAGACUGACAUCUAGUCAACAAGAGGUGUUUUGAAAGAGCUAGCAUAUACCUAUGAUGGUCUUGUGUUAUCAUUUUUUUACUUUGAAGAAAAUUCUAAUUUGUUACUCAUCACAAGUGAAGUAUUCUCUCUUCAUCUCAUAGCCAUGCAUGUCGAUGUCAUUGUGAGAGGCACAAAGAAAGUGAGACUUUCCUUUGUGUGCGACUUCACCAAUGCCCGUGCUAAUUUUGGAGGGGAAGAACUGGUGGGACCUUCUCUCUUCUUUCCUCUUCACUUCCUUACUCUUCUUCUUUCUUUUCCCUCCUGUGCAACUAUGUAAAAUCCAUUUAGAAGGUAAAGAGCUUUCAUUUUUUUGUUAAAGAUUACUCCAUUGCAACAGGCCAACCACAAUUCACAUGACUGAUAGACUGUCUGUAUCUUCUGCGCAUAAGCGCAUGGUUUUAUCAUCCAUUCCCCUCAGGUUGCAAAUGCUAAUCACAAGUCACGUGCAAGCAGCAAUCUUCCUCAUAAGUAGAUGUCUCUGUGGCAUUACAUAUCAAGUGGGAAAGAGGGCGCUAACAAGACUGCAUGUCUCCUACUGGGAGCAAUAUGCCAACUACCCAACUGUAAUGUGCAAGAAAUGCAAGACUUCUUGAGUACUUUAGCAGUCAGCUACAGAGUGACUUUCUUCUCAAAACUCCCUUGUUUUAUAAAUUUCCUUCCAUUACAUACCCUGGUCCUCUCAAGGAACUAGAGGACUAAGAACUCUACGAGUUCAAUGCGAUUCCACACUGGUAUCCUGAGAAUACGUGUAAUUUUGGUUCAAUGUGGAACUGUUUUGCCACCAUCAGUGCUCUAAAACCAGCUGUUAUUACAAUAUCCAUGAAGUAUUGAUAGUAACAGCAACUUAUCUAUUUCUGCAAUAAUUAAUUAAAAGAGACUAUUUUUAUAUACAUAUAGAAGCAUAUAUAUUUUCAAAAGUAGCAAAGACACUUGUACUUCGGCUAAUGAAAUGGACUCAGUAACACUGUUACUGGAGAUCUGUUUCUGAUAAUUAUUAUGCACCACUAGCAGCAAAAAAUAUUACCUGUAGCUCUUAGCUUCCUAACAGGGAAAGAUCUAUAUGUGCGCAAGAGAAAAGCAGAAGAUAGUAAAUAAGGUCAGAACUUGAACUGUUAAAACUAGAUCUUCAUUGCCUUGGAUAUUGAGGUUCACUUAUGCAAUAUGAAGCACUCAUAGGCACUGACUUGUUCCUGAAACUAUAACCUCCACAUUAUAUGAAAACAGAGAUUUGCAAGUAGUGAAUGCUCUCUGUAUAGUAAAAUAUUUGGAUUAGUUAACACCAACCAAUUGCAGACAACCAGCUGACGUUGUACUAGGAACUCAGAGCAGGUUCCUCAGACCUAAUGUGUUUCUAAAAUGAUGCCCAAGUUGUUCAAGGUAUAUCCUGUAACUUUUAAUUGUAAAGCUUCAGUGUGGUAGGUGAUAUAAGGUCAUAUGAUGUACAUCUAAUAUAAAAAACAGCCUGUCUAGGCUCAUGAGUAAAGAAUGUCACAUGAAGUUACUUAUUCCACAUAUUACAUGGGGUGGAAUCAUUAAAUGCCUAAAAAAAGAGUGAUGAGUAUGAAAUAGUUCCACAUAUGCCUACCUCGCUGUAGCACUGUGCCCCCUUAUUUACUGAAUCAGCAGUUCACAGCUCUUCUAGGUCCCAGCCACAAACAGGGUCAACGCGGCUCUACAGAGAGCUCUGCACAGCCCCAUCCCAGCGCCUCCUUGCAGGCUAAGCAGCGCUUUGCUCGCACGGACCUGCCAGCAGCAGAACUUUGCCCACAGGCUGCACAGCUGCUGCCAGUGAUGCUGUAGUCAUUUGGAGGAGAAGCAAAGAUGUUUUGAAUUGAAAUUCUGCUACGUUUGAAUUGAAUUUUUAAAUUAGCCACAACACUCUCAGCAGCAUAGUCCUGGUACAAUUUUCAUCUGGCAGGAGGGUAUCUUUAAAUAACAGCACCUGAUUUUGAUUUGAUAAAGCAUUAAGGAUGUCAGAGUUUGACUCUAGCACACCUCCCCUCACUGCAGCAACUCUUCCUGCUCUCCACCCCAUCCGUUGCCGUCAGCAGGUGGGUGGGAGAGUGACACAAGGGGACGGGCGUCAUUCCAGAGAGAGGAUGGUGAAGCUACUCCUCCAGGCAGGCCUCCCCCACCAGCACUAAGAAAGCAGAGAUCUGCCCUAUACUAAAAAUGUUCUCUAAGGACAAUUCUGGUGACCAUAAAUUCUCAGGAUACUGCUUAUACAGUGCCUGGAGGAACUGGGCCCGCAAUGAUACAAAAGAGCAGAUCCCACCUGACCAAUUUGACUAAAACUCCUUGACCUGAGCUAUUUCACAGACUAGAGAGGACCAGUUGUCUCCUCACUUAACAUAUGCAUGCUAAGUCCUCACAUCACCACAUUGAACUAUGAAGUUCAUUAUGCUGCAGUGUUGCCAGAAGGCCCCAUUCAAGACAAGGGCUUCAUUUUGCCAUCGUCAUAUGAGACAACCCCCACCUUACAACCAAAUAUCUGGCAGCCUACGUAGACAACAAAGAGAAAAUAGACGUAAUCUCCAGUAUUUCCAUUUGACACAUGGCUUAAAUCAAUAAUUGACCAAGAUCGCUUGAAAGAUAGGUGGCAAAGCUAUUAAUUGAACAUAACUAAAUAAGCACCAAUCAUAACCACAGAUCCCUGUAUUGUAGUGUCUUUCAUCUAAAGGUUUCUGAGUAUUUCAGUCAGUAGCAUAAUUCAUCAUGCUGUAUGAAAAUCAAAAAGAAGCAAAACAAAAAGUUAGCCUAAACCACUUAAACUUAGCUCAUUCUGCCCCAAACCACACUCUGCCCUGCAAGUACAAAUAAUUUAUCUCAGUGCAUGUGGCAACAAAUUUUAAGGGGCAACCUUUUAAGGAAACCUCAUAACAUGCAAAACAAAUCUUGAAAGCACCCAGCUUUGGGCUUUGUUAUAAAAGUGUUACUCAGCUCUUUAGGCCCUGUCUUCGGUGAGCUGUGAACUUACCUCAAAACAGGUUGAUUGCAUGGUUAUACCUUAAAGCAGCCACAGGAUGAAGUAAUCAAUGUCAUUUUCCAGUGCUGUAAAAGAAAUUUAGAAUAAGAAUGGAAUUCAUAACUUCAUUUGAUGUCUAUAGCACCCUCUGGUGCCACAGAGCAAUGGUCUUAAGAAUAUACAUAUAAUAUACAAUAUGAGAGAUAGGUUAUUUUUAUUUCUUGUUAAGAGAUCUACCCCAAACUUUCAUUGUUUCUGUACAAAUAUUUACAGAACCAGGGCACACAAUGUUUAUGUUGACUUUAAUAUGGCCAAAAUAAUAAUUGCUCACAUCUCUUUGAUUCCCUCUGCAUGCAGUUUCACUUAAGCUAUUCUCUGAGGAUAGAGCAUCUUCAUAUAAAUUUACUGUGCAACCAGGUUGGGCAACUUUUUCACAGUAUGCUGAUGGCAAAAUUCUCUACUCAUUGCAUAGCUGAGAAAUAUGGAAGAAACAUUAUUAGAUUCCAAGGGCCUAAGAGGGGAGGAAAAAUACCCAUGUCAUUGCUAAUUCCAUUUUAGCUUUGGAAUAACUUCUGUGGUUGUUUCACCUCCCUGCCCAAAAAAGGGUUUUCCAGUACCCACUCCUUGACAAGCCCAAUGUCUGAACAGACAGAGCCACCCAAGUCUAUCACUGACAGAGGGGAACUAUAUGGCUUUAAUGACUCCCGCGUACUCUAUGGUCACAUGAACUGGAGCAAGCUGUACUAUUAGCAACUUAUUAUUUCAAUGCAAUUUACUGAUUUCUAUUUAAAAAUAUAAUGUAGAAUUGCCUAUUUCAGCUUUAUCACUAAUGCUUUCUGAAGGAGCUGAUCUUUUCUUGAGACUAUAUUUUUCUUCCCUUCCGCCACAGUAAGCUAAAUAACCUGUGUUCCUUGUGCAACACACCGUUUCUAACAUCAGAAGUGUGCUGAGCACUCUAAUUCCAGUGCCAAUGCUCAGUGGGAACUGGGGACUCUUGGCAGUUCUUGCCACAGGCCUAUUCUGCUGUCUGACAUAUAGCUCUACUGUGGAAACUUCCAUGGCUUUUAUGGAGAGCAAAGCAGCAUUAAAGCCAUCUAUAUGUAGUCACUGUGGUAAUCCUUCAAUCCACAGGGAAGAGAACUCUCUGAUCAAAUGCCUUUGAACAUUUUUUAAAAAAAGCUAUCUUCAGUGUCAUAACAGCUUUGACCCCUUCUGUAAGAUGGGCAGCAGACAGCGAAGCAACUGCAAAGGGCUUAAUUCUGGUUGAGCUCAGAAGACUCUGAUGUUUGUAUACAUUGGACAUAAAACAUUAAAAAGGCAGUGUAAAACGUAACAGGGAGAUGUUUUUUCUUUCCUCCCUAUACUUAGCCUUCCUAGCCUUUAAAACUCCAGAAUUCACUACUGCUAAUAGCAAAUGUUAGCUUUUAUAGAGAAAUGAGGUAAGGACUACAUCCCGAUGUCACAGAAGAUGGAGGCUGGGUCCUCUGGAUCUAAUGCAGAGACUGUAAAAAUUCAAAAUAAAAGGAUUAAGGCUCAGUUUUUCCUCUGACUUAAGAUGCAUUUGCCUGAGGUCCCCUUUGUAUUGAAAGAAGAGUUAGGCAGUCUCAGAGAAUAAUUUACACAUCUAUGAUCUGAACUGCCCUCUAGAGGUGGCUAUCUCCAUAACUGACCUAAGGUGGCUGCAGCUCUAACUUCAGGUGCUCAGUUAAGUGCCUGCAGUUAGGUGGGAGGAAUCUGGAUCUGUUCUCCCCAUGCGGCAUUUCUACAAUCUCAUAACUGUGGAUCACACACAAAGCAAAAUUUAUAACUUACACAAUGCAAUAUUUUGUUGUACAAUUAUUCAUCUGUGAUUUCCUGCAGAGAUACUAAUCAGUGGGUGUCACUUGUACUACGGUGCUUAUUUAAUUUAGAAUUUGAGUAUAAAUAACAUCCUCUAUUCCAAGUCAUCUGAAAGCAAAAAGGAGGAGCUAUGUGUUCAAGCACGGAGCUUUGGGUUUCCUGCUUGUUGGUCCACAUCCAUGCCAGGUCCACACUGGCUGAAGAGUUUUGCCACCCAGUGACUGAAAUUAAAAGGUGCAGUAACCAUAGCCGAGUCUGUAAUGAGGAAGAUCUAGAAAAAGCCCCAGAGAAGUGCAGCAGUAUGAUCAAGCAUUGAACGAGGAAGUAAAAAGAGCCCCUUUUAGCUCUGGACUGGCUUCUGCCUGUCUAUUAGCAGAGGAGUGUGGGGAAGUUACUUUAGCAUUAUUGCUCUUCUUCUGUUGGUCUCACAGAAGACACCUAGGCACUGCUCCCUGGCACUAUAGGGGACAUCAAAAAGGAUCUCCCUACACAGCUGCCUGUGGUCUGGCCACUGCCAGGGAUGUUCAUAUGGAGAGACAGAACCAUACUGAGCUGAAAAACAAUCACAGGACUAAAUAAUAAAUCUUAGAACUUUAAUAACUCUAAGAGCCUUAAUAACUCAAUGAGCACAAGAGGAUUAUAGCACUUUUAGCGAUGGGAAAACACAGAUACUAACGCAUUUCCUGCCAAAUAAGCCCAGGUUGUGCUAAUCCUUCAAUACAAGACAGAUGUAAAUACAGUAAAUCCUCUUUCUCAAGCACCCUUUUGCAGGUAUGUGCUUGCCACUGCAGUUCCAGUGCUAUCCAGUGCAGAACGCAUUCCCGGGAUAUAAAAGAGGUAGUCUUGGCACCCCUCCAUGUGAUUCACUCCCUUCCGCAGGAGAGAGUAUGACUGGUCUUUGCAGAACAGAAACAACAGAAGGCAGCUCUGUGUAAGAAGUACAGCUCUGCUACAAUCACACUAGAGAGACAGGACUAUUUACUCCUUACCACAAAAAAACAGGGACAAAAGAUGGUUCUGGGAUGUGAAGUCCCAGUCCUGUGCCCAGUCCAAUAGCUUGUAUCCCUCUCACUCUGUACUUGAUGGAAAUUUUCUUCAAGCUUUUUGUCUAUUUGCUUGUCAACUUAUAAGCACAAAGCUGAAAUAACCAGCAAUCCACCAUUCCUGCUCUCUCUGCUGUUUGUAUUCAUCCAUGCUCCAUAUCUCAGACACAUUUCAUACUGUACAGAUCAUCAUAUCGUAUUCUUCAGUCAGCUUGGUACUAUAAGGCAGCCUAAAACUCACCUGACUGCACUUCUCUGCAACCUCUACCUGACCUGUCAGUGACCCACUGCACUCUACAGAGUCUGAUGUUAAGGAGACCCUCAGAAGUACAGGACUGGUGCAAGUGAAAUCCCCGAAUUGUCAGGACACAACUAGGAAGGAUCUUCCAUAGCUCUUUGCAAUGCACCACUUCCAGGAGCACCAUUUCUCAGCACUGCAUUAAGCAUAUAUCCAAUAAUACCUGUGCACGGCAGGGUACACUGGAUCUGCUUACCUAGAGCUCCUGUGUCUGCUCCGGUCGUGCCAGUAGCUAGGCAGCCAACAUACCGUCACCUCACUUCAAGGAGUAGUGCCUCACAAGGUGAUAUUCUCUGGGAGUGACGCCACAAUGUUGGCCGGUUAGCACUGAGAGGUGGUCCCCGCGCCACCGGAGUGCCUCUCCUGGGGGACACGGCUUCCUGGAGGGACCAGGUCAACAUGGUGGUGAGUACAUGUUGAAGAGGUAGGUUGGGUCGGAAGGCCUCUGCGUAUUCCUGUAGCGUACUAAGCUCUGCUCUCGUUUGUGCCACUGUAAAGUCCGUCAGUGUGAUAUCUACUCAAAAGAGCUUCAUAACAGCUUUCAAAAUAUGCAGUAAUUAUGAAAAUUAGGGAACUUUAAUAAAGAUACCUAGAACUAACAGAUUUUUUUAUUCUAAUGGCCUUAGAAUAUUGGGGUAACUAAAAUUAACUGAGUUGUUAUAUAGGAAUCUAUUAAUUCUUUUACAUGUUCUUCACAUUUUCUCUCUUUUUCUCUCUCUCUCUUUCACUCUGUUUGUUAACAUUUACUUGUUUUUACUGUACGUUGCUUGCAGCUUGUGUAUGUUACAGACUGUCAUAUUUUAUUCUGUGAAGUUUUUCUCCAAUUCCCAUCAACCUGAGCUCCAUAUUGGGCAGCCGAGGAGAUUACAAUACAGUUCUUUAAUGCAAAAGAACAAGGAAUGUCACAGACUAUAGGUAACUUCAUUGAGGUUGUGACACAAAACCUGAUGCAAGGUAUUAAUGCAAAGAGUAAGUACCUGGUAUGACAACAGAACUACUUAGUUAAAUUACUACUUUUUUUUUUUCCAGAUAGUCUGCAUGGGAAAAAUUAAUUUUCAUUGCUCGCCAGCAGAAAAAUUCCCAAGCCUACCAAUUUAGGAUUUUUUUUCCACUACCAUUUUGAACACCAGUGAUACCCAUGUUGACAUAUCAUAACUCAUUUUCAAAGGCUUAAGCCCAUAUUCUCUAUGUUGCAUUUCUCUAAGCUAUAUUUCCUUCCAUACUCUCCAAACCAUAAUUUCAUCAUUUCAUCAUCCUUUGUCUGUGGUUUAAUACAUCUUCUCCACAAUUCUCUUCCUAAUUUAAUAUAGUUAUAUCCCUUUCACUCUAAGGACCUGAUUUAAGAACAACAAAAAUGAGCCCUUGCCCAUGGGAUCCGCAUUUCUUAAUGCUGCAUGAGGCUCUGGAGCCCAUAAAAAUUGAUUUCUGUAGCCUAAGAUGAUCUGGCACGGAAGCAUAAUCAUUAUUUUGCAGAAUCGGGUCUUGAUUGAAGUAUUUUGUUACAAUCUCCCCCAAUUACCUAAACACUACUCUGAAAGAAUGAUAAAAAAACCAGCUUAUAGAUUUUCUUUGUUAAUUUUCUACAGGGACAGUACGAAGUUUAUUGUUUCUAAUCUUAUUCUUAAUCACUAGUGAAUUCUAUGUUAAUUCAGAAAUCGCUACUACCACAGGCAAACUCAAGAAAAGCUUAUUUUUCUCAGUCUGCAGUUCCUAUGCCUCCCAAUUCUCUGUUAUACUCUGAGCCUCCCAUAACCCAGUGGAGAAGCACAGCAGAGCGCAGAUGGAGCCCAGUAUAAAAAGCGAUUUAUACUGAUGCAGUUGAUGACUGGCCAAUGAAUAUCAACGGGCAGCAAACACUAUCCAGGAAACCAAAACAGAAAUAACCUGAUAAUAGGAAUGAAAUUUGAAUUCAAGAGACUCAAAAGAAUGGGGAAUUGAGUUCUAAAUACUGCAUUUCCACACAUGAUCUUGGAGAGAAAUUGGGGGAUAUAAAGUCAUUGGGGAUUUUCAGAUGCUGAGCAGCUCUUAACACUUCCACAGACUCAGGUAAACGUCCUUGGACUCAUACCUUUUACCUACAUUAUGGUCAUUUGCUCAGCACAGGAAGUAGCAGGCAAACAUGAUGCUGCAAAAGCAGGAGGCAAAUGGGAAUGCACAAUCUUUCAUUUUCCCUACAGUAAAGAUGGCUAGGAAAUUCUCUGUCCUCCAUGAGAAACUACGUCAGCCUCAGGGCUGCUCCACCUCCCACUCUCCAGACUAUAACCUCAUAGCUGAAAAAGGCUAGAGCACAGCAGUCCUCCACCCUCAUCUUGGCCAUGCCAUCCUUGUCCCUGUGUCAUGCUAUCACUAGCCUGAGAGACAGGGAAAACUGUCAUACCAAGACAGUUUCUUGUCGCAAGCAUCGCAGAACACAGUUAAUGUCUGCCACGUUAGUAGUUCUUUUAUAUCACCAGAAAAGUGCAAAAGGUCCACAAAACAGAAGAGUUAUUAACUCACUAAGUGGACAAUGUAGCAUUACUUUCUUCAGGGACUCCAGCUGGAUUAAAGGUCUCUGCUGAGACCAGAUCCUUCUUCAGGAGACACUUUGGGCAGCUACUAAAUCCUAGGAGCCAUGCAGCGUGACAGGGCUGAAAAUGGGCAAACACCUCCCCAAGCCAUGAAAUGAAAUCCAACAGCACUCUCUUACUGUUGGGAGCAGGACUAUUCGCAAACUGUAGUAACAGCAGUCCCAGGACUGGGAUUAUGGCUGUAAGAGCACAGCUGCAGCCUAGUCAAGGUGUGGGUCCAUCUUUAGGUGUACAAGGGCUAGUAGCUUGGAAUGUAAUUUUGGUCAAAAAAGGCCCCCCAGUAGAAAGGUCUUCAUCCUCCAAACAACUUUCUCUCUCAGUUCUGGCCCUGUUCUGCACUUGGCUGCUCCUACCUCCUUCCUGCUCCUCAACCCCUUCCCUUGGGAUGGCAGUAGAGACCCUUCAAGUCUCCUGAGUCUUUAUGGGAUGGCAAAUGGCUGCUCAGGGAAGUUGUAGGUGCUCAGCCUUGAGUCCUACAGAAUCCAAGGCCAAGAGUCCUUGCCUCUCUCAAUCCUUAAACAAGGGCUUCUAGGAGGGAAACAGUCUGUUUCCUCCUGGAAGAGAUUUCCAAUGACCUAAAGGGAUUAAAGGAAUCAGCCUGAUGUCUCCCAAUUGCUGUGUUUCUGAUCUAGGGCUGAGAAGACUCUAUGCUCUUUAGCACAAUACCAAGGAAUUUGGCUUUGUUCAUGCAACCAGGCACUGAGAAAGAGAACCUGCAAAUCCCACAGAUCUUUGCAAAGAAAGUCCAGUCAUUGCUAAAUAUAUGCCAACAGAGGCAGUCAGAGUGACCUGACAAGGCGAGAUGGAGAUGAACAUUGAUGGCUAAUAAACAUCUGUGUGGAACUGUGCAGGCAUAGAAGACCUUCUCAUUUGGACAAAGUAAACUCGCUCCAUGCAGGUUUUAUGGAUGAUUGCUCGUGGUUUUGGAGUUGUACUAGAGAUGCAGGCUUUUUCUACGGCCAAAAUGUAACAAAACUGUAGAAGAUCUUUUUUUUUUUAAUCUAUUUUUUGUUCCAUAGCAUGAAUUGCAUGAAGACAAAAAUUAAAAAACAAAAAACAAGAAACACUGCAAAUGUAUGAUUAACCUUAAGGAGAAAAAAAAAGCAAAGUUAUAUAUUUUCUUUCAAAGCUCUUUACUUUUACAUACGUUGUUGUAGCCAAAAUGUAAAACAUGAUAAAACUGUACAUUUCUUUGCUAUGGAUCGCUUCUUUUUGUAUACAAGAUACAGAGUAAUGGUUUUAAAAAAGUGCAAUCAGGCAGUCAUCGGUCAUAUUGACCACGCCUUCACAGUUCAUCACACCGACAUGGAAAUCAAGAACUUUUAAUCCAACUAGAAGUGUAUAAAAAUAAGAAACUUUUUCCUGUCUGUUUUUGUUGGCAUGCUUGUGACACAUGGGACCUUCCUUCGGACCUGACAGUAACAGCUGGUCUAGAUUUAAUUUUCCAGCUCUGGUUAUGUUGUAUUUUAUUGAUGUAUAGAUCCAACGUAAAGACCCUUCAUAAAUUGUUCAUAUUAAGUAAUCAGUAUGAAUUUUAACAAAAAAGUGUUAUUUUAAAACUGGGACUUAUAGUGCAAAAAUCAGGAAAAUACUCAAGUAUAAAAUUGUCUCAAAGUUUAAGAAACAAGACAACAGCACUGUAUGCAAUUUAGUACUUCUGAGUAAAAUGCAUGCACAAUGUUAUGCAAAACAAUUCUAGCAUGAAAUAAAUUUUGUAUCAUGGUU